GACGGAGGAUGCAAGCGUUAUCCGGAAUUAUUGGGCGUAAAGCGUCCGCAGGUGGCUGUUCAAGUCUGCUGUCAAAGCGCAGAGCUUAACUCUGUACAGGCGGUGGAAACUGAAGAGCUAGAGUAUGGUAGGGGUAGAGGGAAUUCCCGGUGUAGCGGUGAAAUGCGUAGAUAUCGGGAAGAACACCUAUAGCGAAGGCAGCUUACUAGGCUGUAACUGACGCUGAGGCACGAAAGUGUGGGGAUCAAACAGG
rnacentral:rRNA from 1 species